rnacentral:rRNA from 1 species
AGAGUUUGAUCCUGGCUCAGGACGAACGCUGGCGGCAUGCCUAACACAUGCAAGUCGAACGGAGUUAUUAUUCAGAAGUUCUUCGGAAUGGAAGGAUAAGAACUUAGUGGCGGACGGGUGAGUAACGCGUGGGUAACCUGCCCUUUUGUGGGGAACAACUUCGAGAAAUCGGAGCUAAUACCGCAUAAUAAUAGAGGAUCGCAUGAUUCUUUAAGGAAAGAUGGCCUCUGAAGAUGCUAUCGCAAAAGGAUGGACCCGCGUCUGAUUAGCUAGUUGGAAGGGUAACGGCCUACCAAGGCAACGAUCAGUAGCCGGCCUGAGAGGGUGAACGGCCACAUUGGGACUGAGACACGGCCCAAACUCCUACGGGAGGCAGCAGUGGGGAAUCUUCCGCAAUGGGCGAAAGCCUGACGGAGCAAUGCCGCGUGAGUGAAGAAGGCCUUCGGGUUGUAAAACUCUGUCCUUAUCGAAGAGAGGUAGGUAUGUGAAUAAUGUACCUAUAGGACGGUAGAUAAGGAGGAAGCCCCGGCUAACUACGUGCCAGCAGCCGCGGUAAUACGUAGGGGGCGAGCGUUGUCCGGAAUCACUGGGCGUAAAGGGCGCGUAGGCGGUUUAAUAAGUCAGUGGUGAAAACUGAGGGCUCAACCCUCAGCCUGCCACUGAUACUGUUAGACUUGAGUAUGGAAGAGGAGAAUGGAAUUCCUAGUGUAGCGGUGAAAUGCGUAGAUAUUAGGAGGAACACCAGUGGCGAAGGCGAUUCUCUGGGCCAAGACUGACGCUGAGGCGCGAAAGCGUGGGGAGCAAACAGGAUUAGAUACCCUGGUAGUCCACGCCGUAAACGAUGGAUACUAGGUGUUAGUAGUUUCGAUGCUACUAGUGCCGGAGUAAACACAAUAAGUAUCCCGCCUGGGGAGUACGGUCGCAAGACUGAAACUCAAAGGAAUUGACGGGGGCCCGCACAAGCGGUGGAGCAUGUGGUUUAAUUCGACGCAACGCGAAGAACCUUACCAAGACUUGACAUCCUCCUGACAAGAUAUGUAAUGUAUCUCUUUUCUUCGGAGACAGGAGAGACAGGUGGUGCAUGGUUGUCGUCAGCUCGUGUCGUGAGAUGUUGGGUUAAGUCCCGCAACGAGCGCAACCCU